GUUAGAAAUAACGUGGGUCGACUUUGGCUUUACAACAAAAUGGAAUUGAGAAACCGCAGCUGAAAAUGGACACAAGUAUUUACGUGGUUCACCCAAUUUAGGCUACGUCCACGGGCAAGUAUAGGAAGAUUUCACUAUAGUAGGAGAAUUACAACACUCUCUAAAUACAAGGAGAUAACAACAAUUAAUCUCUCUUGUAAUAUGAGAAUACAAGGAGGUAAUACUUAGGAGAAACUAAU
rnacentral:lncRNA from 1 species